rnacentral:rRNA from 1 species
UGGGGAAUCUUCCGCAAUGGACGAAAGUCUGACGGAGCAACGCCGCGUGAGUGAAGAAGGUUUUCGGAUCGUAAAACUCUGUCUUUUGGGGCGAACGUGAGUAUGGUGAACAAUCAUAGUCAGUGACGGUACCAAAGGAGGAAGCCACGGCUAACUACGUGCCAGCAGCCGCGGUAAUACGUAGGUGGCAAGCGUUGUCCGGAAUUAUUGGGCGUAAAGAGCGCGUAGGCGGGAUAGUCAGUCUGUUGUAAAAGUGCGGGGCUCAACCCCGUGAUGGCAAUGGAAACAGCUAUCCUUGAGUGCAGGAGAGGAAAGUGGAAUUCCCAGUGUAGCGGUGAAAUGCGUAGAUAUUGGGAGGAACACCAGUGGCGAAGGCGACUUUCUGGACUGUGUCUGACGCUGAGGCGCGAAAGCCAGGGGAGCGAACGGGAUUAGAUACCCCGGUAGUCCUGGCCGUAAACGAUGGGUACUAGGUGUGGGAGGUAUCGACCCCUUCCGUGCCGGAGUUAACGCAAUAAGUACCCCGCCUGGGGAGUACGGUCGCAAGACUGAAACUCAAAUGAAUUGACGGGGUCAUAGCUGUUUCC